rnacentral:rRNA from 1 species
UACGAAGGGGGCUAGCGUUGCUCGGAAUUACUGGGCGUAAAGGGCGCGUAGGCGGAUACUUAAGUUAGAGGUGAAAGCCCAGGGCUCAACCCUGGAACAGCCUUUAAUACUGGGUAUCUUGAGUUCGGGAGAGGUGAGUGGAACUCCGAGUGUAGAGGUGAAAUUCGUAGAUAUUCGGAAGAACACCAGUGGCGAAGGCGACUCACUGGCCCGAUACUGAACGCUGAGGCGCGAAAGCGUGGGGAGCAAACAGGG